rnacentral:rRNA from 1 species
ACUCCUACGGGGGGCAGCAGUGGGGAAUAUUGGGCAAUGGGCGCAAGCCUGACCCAGCAACGCCGCGUGAAGGAAGAAGGCUUUCGGGUUGUAAACUUCUUUUGACAGGGAAGAGCAGAAGACGGUACCUGUCGAAUAAGCCACGGCUAACUACGUGCCAGCAGCCGCGGUAAUACGUAGGUGGCAAGCGUUAUCCGGAUUUACUGGGUGUAAAGGGCGUGUAGGCGGGGACGCAAGUCAGAUGUGAAAACCACGGGCUCAACCUGUGGCCUGCCUUUGAAACUGUGUUUCUUGAGUACUGGAGA